AUUGAACGCUGGCGGCAGGCCUAACACAUGCAAGUCGAGCGGAGCGGCGGACGGGUGAGUAAUGCCUAGGAAUCUGCCUGGUAGUGGGGGAUAACGUCCGGAAACGGGCGCUAAUACCGCAUCCUAUCACAUGUGCCUAGGUCGGAUUAGCUAGUUGGCGGGGUAAAGGCCUACCAAGGCGACGAUCCGUAACUGGUCUGAGAGGAUGAUCAGUCAGACUUGAACUUGGACACGGUCGAGACUCCGUAGGGAGGCAGGAGGGGGGAAUAUGUGACAAUGGUCGAAAGCCUGAGGCAACCAUGCCGCAUGUGUGAAUAAGGUCUUCGGAUUGUGAAGCACUUUAAGUUGGGAGGCGUUACCGACAGAAUAAGCACCGGCUAACUUCGUGCCAGCAGCCGCGGUAAUUC
rnacentral:rRNA from 1 species